GUGCAGUGUGUGACCGUGUACACAUGGCCAGUGUGCACACAUGCUGGCCAUUAUGUGCAGCCGUGCGCACUGCUCUUGAGAUAACAAGGCAAAAGAUGGUCACAGAUCAGAAGAGACAACAGAGAUUGAAUUCAGGACCUCACACUUGCCAAGAAGGCACUUGUGCCACUGAGCUAGAUCCCUGGCUCUCUGCUUCUUUACUGUGAUGACAUGAGCAGCUUUCCUUGAUCGUACCCCUCCACCAUGCUACCAGACCCUUCUACUACGCCAUUUCCGCCUUGGACCAGGCUGACCAUGUGGAAACUGAGCUAAAAUAACCCUCUCUUCUUCUAUCAAGGCAUAAGCCUGGGUCCAGCAGACCCACCCCGCACUUUUCUACUGCCACAUUAUAGUUGCCAACUGUGCAUCUCAGUACCUUUCCCUGAGGGACACAGGAAGCGAGCUAUGUGUAUACCAGCUGGGUGUGACAAAUGGCAAGGAGUGUGCACAUGUGCAAAAGUGUAAAAAUGGGAUUUGGAGCCACUUUUGCAUGCAAUAAAACUGGGCUUUUGCAUAUUUACCCAAGCAUCACAGAGGAUCCAAUAGACCACACCACUCUAGGAUUUGAAAUUUUCUUUGAUUAUUCUUGUAGAAGUAGCCCAAUUCGGUACCAUGGCAUAUGAAAAACAAAAUUUGCAAGCUCUGGAAGAGGUCAAAACUGAAUCAUCAGAUUACUCAUGAGUGGAUGAUGAUGACCAUACGGCUAAAAUAAAUGCUUUCAUAACAGAAGAGAGGUUUGGGUGUAGGGUGACGGUGAUGAUGAUGAUAAUGAUGAUGACAACUUUCAUGUUGGCCAUGUGAGUCAAAGUUCCUGUGACAGUGAAAUGGCUCAAGAAUCCACUGACAGAGACACAGGGAAUGCAGGUCUCCUUGACUUAGAUGACAAAGGAAACAGCAAUGUGAGGACAUAUUUGAGUAGUCGAAAUGUUGCAAAAGGGCCACAAAACCAAAUGGAAUGACCCAAUGUUAGAACUAGGUCCGAAAAGAUAGCAAGGGUCUCAGCAGGGGUGGAACAGGAUUGGACAGAAUGCUAGCACUGCCAUUCAGUCUUAGAAACUGUAACAGAUAAAAGGCCACAAAAUGCAGAAAUAUGCAGAGCUGAACUGCAAGAAAAAUGUUCUGUGUGCUCCAACAACCAUAUUAAACAAUGAUGAUUAUGACACCUCACUAAACUGACACAUUCAUAGGUCUGCUGUACUUAGCACAGAUUUCUCAUGGUGACUGCAGGAACGUAAAAGACUUAUGGAAAAGCGAUGGGUCAAAAUAUGGAAUAAAACUUAUGCCCUGGUAGAUGCCAAGACUUGUUGUGCUUUUAAUUUAGACAUUUAUCCUGGAGCUCACCAUCAGGCCCUUAUUUGUACAGUACUAAGCUGAAUGAUGUUAUGAACAGACUUGUAUCCCUCCCCGAAACUAAUCAGAAUGUGACAUUCUACAAUGGAUUUACCAGUUUCCAACUGAUGUCACAUUUGCUAACAGCACAAGACAACAAUGCAGGAACCAUAUGCAGGAACAAAGCAGAAAUUCCAAAUGAAAUGCUGCGACUUCAAAACAGAGAGCUGUACGGUACAAUCUUUGGAUUUUAGGAAGACAGAACAUUGGCCUUGCACAUGGCAAAGAUGCUGAUGUCAACAUUUCACCAUGAAGGAACUACUGAUACGGAAACUUGACAGAACAGAAGCCUGAGAUGAAAACUCUCAACAAGAAAACUGAACAUGGCGUAGAUGUGAUGAGUUACACGGCAACUAUGACGUCACCUGGAACACAAAGCAUUGGCUGAUGGUUGGGCUUUACUUGAUCCUAAACAUGUGAGCCAUAAAUAGUUUGAUAGCUGACAAGGAAAAUAACAAGUAAGAAACAUCAUGAGGAAAUUUUCUUAGAGGAUCCGGACUGGAGCUCCUAGGAGAUCAUUUAUAGCAGAGGCAAACAAAAUGUUUCUGCCCGGGGAACUAUGCAAAAUAACGGUGGGGCACACUGGUGAGCUGACAGGAGAACAGGCAGGUGCAGCAUCACAAAGACCUACGGUGACAACAGGAAUACACAGAAGAUGUCAACCGUGCCCUACAAGAAAGGACGGGAAAACAAAACUCCUGUGCUGUCAGUGUGAGCCACACCUGUGUAUGGAACACGCAGCGGUCAUAUGUGAAGUCUGCCCUGGGUGUGACAGUUGCAGCAAAGCCUACUUUUGUUUGUGUUUACACUGAAGUUCACAGGGGUUUUUAUUUCUGAUGUUAACUUUUAGGUUUUGUAAGCAAUGAAACAGUUUACGUCAGGCUGGGGAUUUAGCUCAGCGGCAUAAGCGCCUGCCUGGCAAGUGCAAAGUCAUGAGUUUGAUUCCUGGUACCAACAAACAAACAAACAAACGAAACAGCUGAUGUGAAAAUGUUAAUGUCUGUUUUAAAUGCAUAAUACGUAUUAAGAAUUUAAAAUUCUAUUUUAUUGUUAUUUUAUGUUCCUGUUGACUACAUACUGUAGAAGAUAAUAAGAACCAGCUGACAAAACAGCAAGACCACUGAGAUGUCAAGUGUGUCCUACAGCAAGGCCAGGAAGGCAAAAGCCGUGUGCUGUCAGUGUGCAUCAGUGUGCAUCAGUGUUAGUGAUGUGGGUGUGGGAUGUGCUGCUGUCAUGCAUGCAGACUGCCUUGGGUGGGAUAAUUAAAAUAAAGGCUAUUCUUUGUAGGGUUCUAUUAGUAUUUCCA